CUUGGAUAACCGUGGUAAUUCUAGAGCUAAUACAUGCUAAAAACCCCAACUUCGGGAGGGGUGUAUUUAUUAGAUAAAAAACCAAUGCCCUUCGGGGCUCCUUGGUGAUUCAUGAUAACUUCUCAGAUCGCAUGGCUUUACGCCGGCGACGGUUCAUUCAAAUUUCUGCCCUAUCAACUUUCGAUGGUAAGGUAGUGGCUUACCAUGGUUUCAACGGGUAACGGGGAAUUAGGGUUCGAUUCCGGAGAGGGAGCCUGAGAAACGGCUACCACAUCCAAGGAAGGCAGCAGGCGCGCAAAUUACCCAAUUCCGAUACGGAGAGGUAGUGACAAUAAAUACUGAUACAGGGCUCUUUUGGGUCUUGUAAUUGGAAUGAGUACAAUUUAAACCUCUUAACGAGGAACAAUUGGAGGGCAAGUCUGGUGCCAGCAGCCGCGGUAAUUCCAGCUCCAAUAGCGUAUAUUAAAGUUGUUGCAGUUAAAAAGCUCGUAGUUGAACCUUUGGCCUGGCUGGCAGGUCCGCCUCACCGCGUGCACUUGUCCGGCCGGGCCUUUUCUUCUGGAGAACCGCAUGCCCUUCACUGGGUGUGUUGGGGACCAGGACUUUUACUUUGAAAAAAUUAGAGUGUUCAAAGCAGGCCUUUGCUCGAAUACGUUAGCAUGGAAUAAUAGAAUAGGACGUGCGGUCCUAUUUUGUUGGUUUCUAGGACCGCCGUAAUGAUUAAUAGGGACAGUCGGGGGCAUCAGUAUUCAAUUGUCAGAGGUGAAAUUCUUGGAUUUAUUGAAGACUAACUACUGCGAAAGCAUUUGCCAAGGAUGUUUUCAUUAAUCAGUGAACGAAAGUUAGGGGAUCGAAGACGAUCAGAUACCGUCGUAGUCUUAACCAUAAACUAUGCCGACUAGGGAUCGGGCGGUGUUUCUAUUGUGACCCGCUCGGCACCUUAC
rnacentral:sRNA from 1 species